GUUGGUGAAAUUAAUUUUAUCAAAAUAAGGGGAGUUCUCAUACUAUUCUUGAAAAUUACACUAUUUAAUAAAUAGCAUUAAAUCAACCAGUAAACAAUUUAUCUCCCCAUUUUACAAGGUCCAAUUGGAAAGUUUCCGCAACACACUUCUGACACAAUGUUUUUGCCCUAUGAAUGUACCUUAACUCAUAUAUUUCAACUUCAACAAGAUGUAAGCAAUACCAAGAAAACAUAUGUACACAUCUAUGCAGGAAAGACAAAUUGAUUCAGCAUUCUAUAUUGUCUAACCCCAAAAAAUUCAAUACAUGAGUUGGUGAAUUUAAUUGGUAAAUGGUAAGAAAAAAAGACCAAUACAUUGGUCAAGAUCAUAUAUUUAUAUAUAUGUUUGUGUAGAAAAUAACCAUCUUACACAACAAUCAACUAAAUUUCAGAUGACACAAUGUAAUAAAAGGGAAUACUCAUUUCUUGAGUAAUAUCUGGCUCCUGGGGUACUCUUUACCACUGCCGUCUAACUUCGGCUUGUCACCAUCUGCAUUCCCAAUAUCAGCCUUCUCCUAAAUAUGUCAAUUAAAAACACACAAUGAUCAUAAUCAUAAGAAAAGAAUUACAAAAAUUUAGAAGACCGUGUCUCUCUAUUUUUUUUCAAUAUGUAACUUGUAGAAACAAAUUAGUGCACUCAAAAAAAAUUUCAGUUGCAAAUUACAUUUUCCCCAGCCACACUCAUUAGUAAAAAAAAAAAAA
rnacentral:lncRNA from 1 species